rnacentral:rRNA from 1 species
UAGGGAAUCUUCCACAAUGGACGCAAGUCUGAUGGAGCAACGCCGCGUGAGUGAAGAAGGGUUUCGGCUCGUAAAGCUCUGUUGUUAAAGAAGAACGUGGGUAAGAGUAACUGUUUACCCAGUGACGGUAUUUAACCAGAAAGCCACGGCUAACUACGUGCUAG